rnacentral:rRNA from 1 species
CAGCAGCCGCGGGAAUACGAAGGGUGCAAGCGUUAAUCGGAAUUACUGGGCGUAAAGCGUGCGUAGGCGGUUUGUUAAGUCUGCUGUGAAAUCCCCGGGCUCAACCUGGGAAUGGCAGUGGAUACUGGCAAGCUAGAGUGUGUCAGAGGAUGGUGGAAUUCCCGGUGUAGCGGUGAAAUGCGUAGAGAUCUGGAGGAACAUCAGUGGCGAAGGCGGCCAUCUGGGACAACACUGACGCUGAGGCACGAAAGCGUGGGGAGCAAACAGGAUUAGAUACCCCUGUAGUCCCUGUCUCUUAUAC